AUCCGGCUGAUGAGUUCCAGAUAGGACGAAACGCGCGUCAUUUGGAU
rfam:Schistosoma mansoni strain Puerto Rico chromosome 2, complete genome